GUGAGGAAUAUUGGACAAUGGGCGCAAGCCUGAUCCAGCCAUGCCGCGUGCAGGAAGACGCAUCUAUGGUGUGUAAACUGCUUUUGUACGGGAAGAAACACUCCCUCGUGAGGGAGCUUGACGGUACCGUAAGAAUAAGGAUCGGCUAACUCCGUGCCAGCAGCCGCGGUAAUACGGAGGAUCCAAGCGUUAUCCGGAAUCAUUGGGUUUAAAGGGUCCGUAGGCGGGUUAAUAAGUCAGUGGUGAAAGCCCAUCGCUCAACGAUGGAACGGCCAUUGAUACUGUUAGACUUGAAUUACAAGGAAGUAACUAGAAUAUGUAGUGUAGCGGUGAAAUGCUUAGAUAUUACAUGGAAUACCAAUUGCGAAGGCAGGUUACUACUUGUGGAUUGACGCUGAUGGACGAAAGCGUGGGGAGCGAACAGGAUUAGAUACCCGGGUAGUCC
rnacentral:rRNA from 1 species